CCUUGGGAGUGCUAAGAAAAUACGAGUAGAGAUUUAUCUCCAAAGUAAGCACGUUGAAUAAGGAA
ncrna:unclassified sequences RAGATH-18 RNA